rnacentral:tRNA from 1 species
GCGGACGUGGCGGAAUUGGCAUACGCGCCAGGUUUAGGUCCUGGUGGGAAACCGUGCAGGUUCAAGUCCUGUCGUCCGCACCA